rnacentral:tRNA from 1 species
GCCUUCGUGGUGUAGUGGUCAGCACGCUCGACGCGUAACCGAGAGGUCCAUGGUUCAAUUCCCGGCGAAGGCG